rnacentral:misc_RNA from 1 species
AAACUGCGAUACGUAGUGUGAAUUGCAGAAUCCGUGAAUCAUCGAAUUCUUGAACGUAACUGGCGCUCCCCGGCGUGCCGGGGAGCAUGUCUGUUUCAGCGUCAUAAUCAUACACUCACGCCACCCUAUGGUGUGGCAGUGGAGAUGAGGGUCACGCUGUGUGCUCUGUGCACCGCGGGUCCCUUGAAAGGCAGUGACGCGUGCCGCGGCCGUGGUGGCUCCGCUGGCCUCUGUGGUGGUAGAAAUCAUUGCGCAUUUCCGCGACGCAGAGGUGGAGUUCUGACCGCGCCGCGGCGCAGCGGCGAAAACCCAUAUCGUCAAAACUAUGACCUGAAAUCAGGCAAGAUGACCCGCUGAACUUAA